UUCUAGUGGCGGACGGGUGAGUAACGCGUGAGUAACCUGCCUUACAGAGGGGGAUAACGUCUGGAAACGGACGCUAAUACCGCAUAACAUUCUGUUUUCGCAUGGAAAUAGAAUCAAAGGAGAAAUCCGCUGAAAGAUGGACUCGCGUCCGAUUAGCUAGUUGGCGGGGUAAAGGCCCACCAAGGCGACGAUCGGUAGCCGGACUGAGAGGUCGAACGGCCACAUUGGGACUGAGACACGGCCCAGACCCCUACGGAAGGCAGCAG
rnacentral:rRNA from 1 species